CUCGGUCGUAAGCCUUCGUGUGGAAGAACAGUCCGCGGUUAAUACCGCAGGAUCUGACGGUACCACAGGAAGAAGCACCGGCUAACUCCGUGC
rnacentral:rRNA from 1 species